UGUUCGUUUGAUGGACGCA
rnacentral:siRNA from 1 species